AUGGCAAGAACUCGCCUCGCAGCGUUUCUUAUCGGCAUGGCGAGCUUCUUCUCCGUCGUUGCCGGCCAACUCCGACCAAUGCCUGCGAGUGGCCUUCCCGGUGAUCUCUUUGCCCUAGGAAUCGCCUCUAAAAUCCGCACCGACUGCAACUCAACGGCGAGCGCGUCGUCAGACUUUGGCCGCAUCAUGGAGGCCGCCCCGGAAGCCGUUCUACACCCUGCCACGCCCGCCGACAUCGCCGCGCUCAUCCGGUUCUCCACGUCCUCGCCGGUGCCAUUCCCCGUGUCACCGCGCGGGCAGGGCCACUCCGUCCGCGGGCAGUCUCUCGCUCCGGGUGGCGUCGUCGUCGACAUGCACAUGCUUGGGCGCGGUUACCAUCGCAUCAACGUGUCCGCGGACUACGUUGACGCGGGCGGCGAGCAGCUGUGGGUCGACGUUCUCCGUGCGACGCUGAAGCACGGCCUCGCGCCGCGCGCGUGGACGGACUAUCUGCAACUCACCGUUGGCGGCACGCUCUCCAAUGCUGGCAUUGGCGGCCAAGCAUUCCGGCAUGGCCCGCAAAUCGCCAAUGUGCACGAGCUUGACGUGGUUACCGGGACGGGUGAGAUGGUGACAUGCUCACGUGACAAGAGGAAGGACCUGUUCUUCGCCGCAUUGGGUGGACUGGGUCAGUUCGGGAUCAUAACCCGGGCUCGGAUCGCUCUCGAGUCGGCCCCAAAGCAGGUGCGCUGGGUCCGACUUGCCUACUCGGAUGUGGUUGCGUUCACCAGAGACCAGGAGCUGCUCAUUUCUAAGCACGCUAGCGAAGCAAGUUUUGACUAUGUCGAAGGCCAAGUCCAGCUUAACCGGACGCUAAGUGAGGGCCCCAAGUCAACGCCCUUCUUCUCCGAAGCCGAUAUCAACACGCUUGCUGACCUCGCAUCCGAGACUGGCUCCGGCGCGAUCUACUUCAUCGAAGCCGCCAUGUACUAUGAUGAGACGACCGCCCCAUCUGUCAACCAGAAACUAGAGAUGGUACUAGCUCAGCUGAGCUUUGUGCCCAGGUUCGUGUUCACCAAGGAUGUGACGUACUUCCAGUUCCUCAACCGCGUACGCGUGGAGGAGACUGUGCUUCGGUCGGCUGGCGUGUGGGAUGUGCCACACCCAUGGCUGAACCUUUUCGUCCCCCGGUCACGCAUUCUCGACUUCGACACUGGCGUGCUCAAAGGCAUCCUCGGGGGUGACAACCCAGUCGGGCUCAUCCUCAUGUACCCUAUGAACACGGCCAAAUGGAACUCCCACAUGACAGCGGUGACGCCACCCACUGGCGAGGACGUAUUUUACACGGUGGGACUUCUUCGGUCGGCUCUAUCUGCCGAUGACCUAGAGCGUCUACAGAGGGAGAACCAAUCGAUGCUGGCAUUUUGUGACAAGGAGGGCAUCGAGUGCAAGCAGUAUCUGCCACACUACACAUCACAAGAUGGAUGGCGGCGACAUUUUGGGGCCAAGUGGAGCAACAUCUCUCAUCUCAAGGCCAAAUAUGAUCCCCACGCGAUAAUGUCACGGGGGCAGAGAAUUUUCCCCUUGCCAAGUGUGCCAGCGGCAAGCACGGCGACCACAUAG
rnacentral:rRNA from 1 species